GCGAACGCUUGCGGCAGGCUUAACACAUGCAAGUCGAGCGGGCACUUCGGUGUCAGCGGCAGACGGGUGAGUAACACGUGGGAACGUACCCUUCGGUUCGGAAUAACGCUGGGAAACUAGCGCUAAUACCGGAUACGCCCUUUUGGGGAAAGGUUUACUGCCGAAGGAUCGGCCCGCGUCUGAUUAGCUAGUUGGUGGGGUAAUGGCCUACCAAGGCGACGAUCAGUAGCUGGUCUGAGAGGAUGAUCAGCCACACUGGGACUGAGACACGGCCCAGACUCCUACGGGAGGCAGCAGUGGGGAAUAUUGGACAAUGGGCGCAAGCCUGAUCCAGCCAUGCCGCGUGAGUGAUGAAGGCCUUAGGGUUGUAAAGCUCUUUUGUCCGGGACGAUAAUGACGGUACCGGAAGAAUAAGCCCCGGCUAACUUCGUG
rnacentral:rRNA from 1 species